rnacentral:rRNA from 1 species
CAGUCGCCGCGGUAAUACGGAGGGUGCAAGCGUUAUCCGGAUUUAUUGGGUUUAAAGGGUCCGUAGGCGGAUCUGUAAGUCAGUGGUGAAAUCUCACAGCUUAACUGUGAAACUGCCAUUGAUACUGCAGGUCUUGAGUAAAUUUGAAGUGGCUGGAAUAAGUAGUGUAGCGGUGAAAUGCAUAGAUAUUACUUAGAACACCAAUUGCGAAGGCAGGUCACUAAGAUUUAACUGACGCUGAUGGACGAAAGCGUGGGGAGCGAACAGGAUUAGAUACCCCCGUAGUCCCUGUCACUUAUAC